rnacentral:lncRNA from 1 species
AGUUCUUCUGUGAGGACAGCCCUGUGUGCAGAGGCCUGGAAGCUGGUGGGCGGCCAGCUGGUGGUCCUGGGUCCUGGGUCCGGGUCCUGGGUCCUGGGUCCGGGUCCUGGGUCCUGGGUCCUGGGUCCUGGGUCCUGGGUCCGGGUCCUGGGUCCUGGUCCUGGGUCCUGGUCCGGUCCUGGGUCCGGGUCCUGGGUCCUGGGUCCUGGUCCUGGGUCCUGGGUCCGGGUCCGGGUCCUGAGUCCUGGGUCCGGUCCUGGGUCCUGGGUCCUGGGUCCUGGGUUCCUGGGGUCCUGGGUCCUGGUCCUGGUCCGGGUCCGGGUCCUGGGUCCGGGUUCCUGGGUCCGGUCCUGGGUCCUGGGUCCUGGGUCCGGGUCCUGGGUCCGGGUCCUGAGUCCUGGGUCCGGGUCCUGGGUCCUGGUCCUGGGUCCGGGUCCUGGGUCCUGGUCCGGGUCCUGGGUCCUGGGUCCGGGUCCUGGGUCCUGGGUCCGGGUCCGGGUCCUGGGUCCUGGGUCUGGGUCCGGUCCUGGGUCCUGGGUCCGGGUCCUGGUCCUGGGUCCGGGUCCCUGGGUCCUGGUCCUGGUCCUGGGUCCGGGUCCUGGGUUCCUGGGUCCUGGGUCCGGGUUCCUGGGUCCGGGCCUGGGUCCUGGGUCCUGGUCUGGGUCCGGUCCUGGGUCCGGGCCUGGGUCCUGGGUCCGGGUCCUGGUCCGGGUCUGGGUCCUGGUCGGGGUCCUGGGUCCUGGGUCCGGUUCCUGGGUCCGGUCCUGGGUCUGGGUCCUGGGUCCUGGGUCCUGUGUCCGGGGUCCUGGGUCCUGGGUCCGGGUCCUGGGUCCUGGGUCCUGGGUCCUGGGUCCGGGUCCUGGGUCCUGGGUCCUGGGCCUGGGUCCUGGGUCCGGGUUCCGGGUCCUGGGUCCUGGGUCCUGGGUCCUGGGUCCGGGUCCUGGGUCCUGGGGUCCUGGGUUCCUGGGGUCCUGGUCCUGGGUCCGGGUCCUGGGUCCUGGGUCCUGGGUCCUGGGUCGGGUCCUGGGUCUGGGUCUGGGUCUGGGUCCUGGGUCUGGGUCCUGGGUCCGGGUCCUGGGUCCUGGUCCGGGUCCUGGGUCCUGGGCCUGGGUCCUGGGCCUGGGUCCUGGGUUCCGGGUCCUGGGUCCUGGGUCCUGGGUCGGGUCCUGGGUCCUGGGUCUGGGUCCUGGGCCUGGGUCCUGGGUCCUGGGUCUGGGUCCUGGGUCCUGGGUCCGGGUCCUGGGUCCUGGGUCUGGGUCCUGGUCCUGGGUCCGGGUCCUGGGUCCUAGGUCCUGGGUCUGGGUCCUGGGUCCUGGGUCCGGGUCCUGGGUCCUGGGUCCUGGGUCCUGGUCCUGGGUCCGGGUCCUGGGUCCUGGUCCUGGGUCCUGGGUCCUGGGUCCUGGGUCCAGGUCCUGGGUCCUGGGUCCUGGGUCCGGGUUCCUGGGGUCCUGGGUCCUGGGGUCCUGGGUCCAGGUCCUGGGUCCUGGGUCCGGGUCCUGGGUCCUGGGUCCUGGGUCCGGGUCCUGGGUCCUGGGUCCUGGGUCCGGGUCCUGGGUCCUGGGUCCGGGUCUGGGUCCUGGUCCGGGUCCUGGGUCCUGGGUCCGGGUCCUGGGUCGGGUAGAGGACGAGCAGCGCAGGCCAGGCCGGGAGGAACCGCAUCCCCCGGGGCUCAGCUGGCCUCCAGGAGUCUGGCAGGAGCGUGAGUGCCCCUGGUUACUCUGUCACACUGGCCAGGUGGACAGGUCUUCUCCCAAGAGCCCGGGGCCAGGAGGAAAUCCGGGGAGCCCAGGGAAAAUCAGAAGUCGGACGGUAAGCAAGUUAGCAGCUUCCUGUGUUCUCCUUAAACCUACGAGCUGGAAGCCAACACCGGUGGCCCCGUGUCAUCCAAGGCAGGCAGCGGCACCUGGCCAUGGAUGGGGGACAGGGAGGAUACUGGCGAAUACAAACCCAAACCCUCAAAUGUAG